rnacentral:rRNA from 1 species
GUAAGCUACUAAGAGCGAAUGGUGGAUGCCUUGACUGGUAAAGGCGAUGAAGGACGUACUAGACUGCGAUAAGCUACGGGGAGCUGUCAAGAAGCUUUGAUCCGUAGAUUUCCGAAUGGGGCAACCCAAUGUAUAGAGAUAUACAUUACCUAUAUAGGAGCGAACGAGGGGAAUUGAAACAUCUUAGUACCCUCAGGAAAAGAAAUCAAUAGAGAUUGCGUCAGUAGCGGCGAGCGAAAGCGCAAGAGGGCAAACCCAGUGCUUGCACUGGGGGUUGUAGGACUGCAAUGUGCAAGAGGUGAGUUUAGCAGAACAUUCUGGAAAGUAUAGCCAUAGAGGGUGAUAGUCCCGUAUGCGAAAAACAAACCUUAGCUAGCAGUAUCCUGAGUAGGGCGGGACACGAGAAAUCCUGUCUGAAGCUGGGUCGACCACGAUCCAACCCUAAAUACUAAUACCAGAUCGAUAGUGCACAAGUACCGUGAGGGAAAGGUGAAAAGAACUGAGGUGAUCAGAGUGAAAUAGAACCUGAAACCAUUUGCUUACAAUCAUUCAGAGCCCUAUGUAGCAAUACAGGGUGAUGGACUGCCUUUUGCAUAAUGAGCCUGCGAGUUGUGGUGUCUGGCAAGGUUAAGCAAACGCGAAGCCGUAGCGAAAGCGAGUCUGAAUAGGGCGCUUAGUCAGAUGCUGCAGACCCGAAACGAAGUGAUCUAUCCAUGAGCAAGUUGAAGCUAGUGUAAGAACUAGUGGAGGACUGAACCCAUAGGCGUUGAAAAGCCCCGGGAUGACUUGUGGAUAGGGGUGAAAGGCCAAUCAAACUUCGUGAUAGCUGGUUCUCUCCGAAAUAUAUUUAGGUAUAGCGUUGUGUCGUAAUAUAAGGGGGUAGAGCACUGAAUGGGCUAGGGCAUACACCAAUGUACCAAACCCUAUCAAACUCCGAAUACCUUAUAUGUAAUCACAGCAGUCAGGCGGCGAGUGAUAAAAUCCGUCGUCAAGAGGGAAACAACCCAGACUACCAGCUAAGGUCCCUAAAUCUUACUUAAGUGGAAAACGAUGUGAAGUUACUUAAACAACCAGGAGGUUGGCUUAGAAGCAGCCAUCCUUUAAAGAAAGCGUAAUAGCUCACUGGUCUAGUGAUUUUGCGCGGAAAAUAUAACGGGGCUAAAGUAAGUACCGAAGCUGUAGACUUGCGCACAACUUAGAUUAUUUAAGUUUAGAAUAUGAGAAACUAAGUUAUAUGUUUAGUUAUAUUUUUACUGAUUUUUAUAGAGUAAAGAUAGAAAUAAAACUUAGUAAAAUCAGUAAAAAUAUUCUUAGACUAAAGUUAAGUAGUUUAAGUUGUGUGCAAGUGGUAGGAGAGCGUUCUAUUUGCGUCGAAGGUAUACCGGUAAGGAGUGCUGGAGCGAAUAGAAGUGAGCAUGCAGGCAUGAGUAGCGAUAAUUAAUGUGAGAAUCAUUAACGCCGUAAACCCAAGGUUUCCUACGCGAUGCUCGUCAUCGUAGGGUUAGUCGGGUCCUAAGUCGAGUCCGAAAGGGGUAGACGAUGGCAAAUUGGUUAAUAUUCCAAUACCAACAUUAGUGUGCGAUGGAAGGACGCUUAGGGCUAAGGGGGCUAGCGGAUGGAAGUGCUAGUCUAAGGUCGUAGGAGGUUAUACAGGCAAAUCCGUAUAACAAUACUCCGAGAACUGAAAGGCUUUUUGAAGUCUUCGGAUGGAUAGAAGAACCCCUGAUGCCGUCGAGCCAAGAAAAGUUUCUAAGUUUAGCUAAUGUUGCCCGUACCGUAAACCGACACAGGUGGGUGGGAUGAGUAUUCUAAGGCGCGUGGAAGAACUCUCUUUAAGGAACUCUGCAAAAUAGCACCGUAUCUUCGGUAUAAGGUGUGGUUCGCUUCGUAUUAGGAUUUACUCCGAAAGCGAAGAAACUUACAACAAAGAGUCCCUCCCGACUGUUUACCAAAAACACAGCACUCUGCUAACUCGUAAGAGGAUGUAUAGGGUGUGACGCCUGCCCGGUGCUCGAAGGUUAAUUGAUGGGGUUAGCAUUAGCGAAGCUCUUGAUCGAAGCCCGAGUAAACGGCGGCCGUAACUAUAACGGUCCUAAGGUAGCGAAAUUCCUUGUCGGUUAAAUACCGACCUGCAUGAAUGGCGUAACGAGAUGGGAGCUGUCUCAAAGAGGGAUCCAGUGAAAUUGUAGUGGAGGUGAAAAUUCCUCCUACCCGCGGCAAGACGGAAAGACCCCGUGGACCUUUACUACAGCUUGACACUGCUAUUUGGAUAAGAAUGUGCAGGAUAGGUGGGAGGCUUUGAGUAUAUGACGCCAGUUGUAUAUGAGCCAUUGUUGAGAUACCACUCUUUCUUAUUUGGGUAGCUAACCAGCUUGAGUUAUCCUCAAGUGGGACAAUGUCUGGUGGGUAGUUUGACUGGGGCGGUCGCCUCCCAAAUAAUAACGGAGGCUUACAAAGGUUGGCUCAGAACGGUUGGAAAUCGUUCGUAGAGUAUAAAGGUAUAAGCCAGCUUAACUGCAAGACAUACAAGUCAAGCAGAGACGAAAGUCGGUCUUAGUGAUCCGGUGGUUCUGUGUGGAAGGGCCAUCGCUCAAAGGAUAAAAGGUACCCCGGGGAUAACAGGCUGAUCUCCCCCAAGAGCUCACAUCGACGGGGAGGUUUGGCACCUCGAUGUCGGCUCAUCGCAUCCUGGGGCUGGAGCAGGUCCCAAGGGUAUGGCUGUUCGCCAUUUAAAGCGGUACGCGAGCUGGGUUCAGAACGUCGUGAGACAGUUCGGUCCCUAUCUGCCGUGGGCGUAAGAAGAUUGAAGAGAUUUGACCCUAGUACGAGAGGACCGGGUUGAACAAACCACUGGUGUAGCUGUUGUUCUGCCAAGAGCAUCGC